GCAUUAGAGGUCCAGUGGUAGGACUUUCACCUGCCACGUGGGAGGCCGGGGUUCAAUUCCCAGCCAACA